AUUAAAGGAAAUAUUAAUUGAUUUCGAAUUUUGAUUCAAUUCGGCCAACCUAUCAGCUUUGACCACAAUUACAUAAUCCACCCAAUUAAAUCAAUAUUGUCCCAUUUUAUAAACUACAAAUAGCAGCCCACUUUCUUAAUUUAGCUUACUAGCCUUGCCAACCUAAUAGUUAAGAUCAGCCCUUUCCCCUUUCAGUUGGGCCGUUAGUCCAAAACUUUCAGAUGACCCAACAAUUUUCAAAUGACAGCAAACCCAACCCAUUUUCUCAGCAAUCUUUUUCUUUAAUUAUAUUGACCGCCCCAGCCCAACAACAACAUCCGAUUCAUAACCAGGCCCAAUUUCAGCAUCCCCACCAGCCUAUUUUGCUCUGUUUUCUCAAGCAGGCCUAAAUCAACCACCUGUGACCCGAUCCAACCCAAUUCCCUUUACCCCCUUUAUCUUCUUUCUCUUCAAACCAAGGGAAAACCAAAAACAGCUGUAAUACUGCAACACCACCACCUUCAUUGACAACACAAGCAACCAACAACGGCGAAAAAUCCGAAUCCAUCAACCCGAUAACCCGACUCCACCAGCCCCAACCUUUUUGUUUGCUCUCCACACGCAUAUCACGCGUUAGAAAGACGAGAAAGGAAUCUAAGAAAAAAUCAGUCCCAAAUCUUCUAGAACGAGCCUAGGUGUCAUCCCCAACGAUUCAAUCCCGUGUUUCUCGGAUAAGAUUGUACGAUUUCGUACAGAGUUGGAUGAUUUUCAUUGGUUCUUGGAAAGAGUCCGUUUUUCCUAAAUGGUAUUAGUCUACCUGUUGCAAAUUUCUCCAAAAAAAAUCCAAAGUUGGUAUGUUUUGGGCUAAAAAAUGAGGCUAUGGGAAGAUGGGAUUCUGAAUUUCGAAUUUCUCUUUUUUUUUAAAUCCCUAGAUUACCCCCAAUUCAUCCCAUAUGUAAGGAUCCAUUGGGUCACUGGGAUGGGGGGAUUUUUUUUUAGACGGGACUCUCCUCUUUUUUUCUAGGUUCACAACCUUAGAGGUAAAGGGAUUCCAACUGGGGGGUUUGGAAAAUUUCGCAAAAGUAUCGAGGGUUUUGGGGUCGAAAAACUUUAGGAAAAAAUUUCUUAAAUUAGGAAAUUGAUAGAGAGGGCUAAGUUCAGAAACCAAGGAGGAAGUUUCCAGAGAAAGGAAACAAAGUUUUUAAUAUAGGUGUCUUUGGUCGACGACUAGUUCGAGCUUUCGUGGUCACCAUGUUAAAAUUUCUAGUGGUGUUGAAAUCCGGUCGUCAUCUCAACAACCCAUUUUGCUGCUCUGAAACAGGAUAUGACUCAACUACAUUCCCACGAAAAGUUCAAGGGACCACAUGAGCGCAGGAGAGAAAAAGAUUGUUAGAACACACAUUGGGCAUCUUCCUUCUUUGAUCGAGAUGGACGCUUAGCCCGAAAUUAUCCAUGUACUAAUAAAUUUUUGGGAUGAUCAGAAUAUGGUAUUUCGCUUUGGGGAUGUUGAAUUGACUCCUACCAUUGAAGAGGUAUUGAUUUGUUACAAGAGUACGGAAAUAUGUUUUAAGAGAAGGGAGACACCUGAUAAGAACAUUUUAGUCCCGGUUGUGUGGGAUCGUCAAAAGAUCAAGGAGGUAUUUUUAACUGACGACGACACCAGGCUAGGAGAACAUGUAGAGAAAAUAUCAUUUUUCGUGAGUUGUAUCGUCGGUUCAGGAGAUUCAAUGCUUUUCACAAAUUUGGGCAUAAAUAUGAGUCAGAAGCAAAAUGGACAGAGUCGAGAGCCUUUGCAUUUGCGGUAGGCCUACUUGGAACCAUGGUGUUCCCAUAAGGGGAAAAUGACACAAUUCAUUCGAGGGUUGUCUCGGUGACCUAUGCACUCUUCUUUGGAAUGGAGUACAAUUAUAAAAAGGUAUUUCACAACUUAGAUCCUAUGAUUGUUGCCGACUUAUAUCAAACUUUGGGAAGGUGUCAAGUCGAGAAUCGUUUCUUUCAAGGCUGCAACCUUAUGUUACAAUGGUGGAUGAUGAUUCAUUUGGUGAAAAAUCCUAGAAUAACACAACCUGACCACAAAACAAGGUGGAAUCUGCUAGAAUCGCACGACAUGUGGUUGUUUUUACACAGGUUCAAAAGGGAAGCAUCUCAUGAAUUUUGGUUUAAGACUAUUGGAGAAUUAAGAGAUGACGAUGCCCAAUGGUCCCUUAACUAUCUUCAUUUAGGGAAAUACAUUAUUCGAGGGGGCGAGUGGCCUUUUCUAGUACUUCCGGGUAUCAGGGGAACCUGUCCCUACAAUUUUGGUAGAGUUCUUAGGCAAUUUAAGAUCAAGAAGGAGACGCCUCAAAUCGAUUCUAUGCUCAGAUUCUUCACCGAAUAUGAUGAAAGCGAGCCCCCGCUCAAAGACUACAUGAUAAACGGAUUUAAAAGGAGAAGGUGGACGGAAGUCUCUUUCCAUAUAGGGUAUGAACCUGAAGUCAACGAUACUUACAAGGAGUGGUUAAAAAAGAGCCUUGGCGGAGCAUUAAUUUCGGGGCCAAACGUGCCCACUUGGGUCGUGGAUGUAGAAUCCGAGCAUCAGAUCCGACUCCACAAGCUUCAGGAUAAAUUUUAGAAAAGUGAAAUCGCGCACCGACAUCGCAUGUAGAAGAUGCUUUAACAAUACGUAUGUUGAGGGAAGAGUUGAAAAGAGCUAGGCAAGAGGCUGAUGAUGCUAGGCAGUGUUUAAUCGAUUUGGAUGAUAGCAUGGCCUCUCAACUCGAUAGUAUAGGGAAAAUAACUUACCACAGCAAGGCACAAUUAUACGGGAGUCAUCUGAUCAUCAAUAGGUAUCAAAUAGCACAGGAGGUGAACAAGGAAAAGAAGGCAAAGACAGACAAAGGAGCCUCCGGUAGCUAGUUUUUCUAUUUCCCCUGUGUGGGAACUCAUUUUCUUUCAUGUUUUUUCCCUUUUUCCCUAAAGAUUGUAUCCCUCUUUUCUUAUUUUUUUUGAAGGCAUUUAUGCCCUUUUUCGUGUCUAUAUAAGUUAGGGGAUAAUGGAUUGACUUUAAGGAAGCAUAUAUUUUCUUCAAAAUCGUUAGGCCUGAACCCUUGUCUCAAAAAGGGUCACCCCAGUUAGGAUACACAUUAUUAUAAUGUUUUGUGUGAUAUAAUUGUCUUAUGUUCUUAUGUGUGUUUAUUUGGAUCAAAGGCAAGUUUAUUCGCUAUACUCCUAUGGAUGAAUUUGUCUAUGACUCAAAAAACUCUAUGUGAUUAUUUCUUGUCAAAUAUUUUGCAUUACUUAUCACAUACGGAAACUAACACAUCUGCCUUUGAGUUGUUUUACUUAACAGAUAGUAGAAACUACUCUGUGUUGAUAUAAGCUGGAAGAACAUCCCUAUUUUACCCGGUCAAAAGCGCACAAAAUCCCAUCCUCUGACCAUUAUUUAAUAAUACUAGAAAUAAUGAAGAAAACGCAUUGACCAUCAGAGACAAUCUAAUAGUGGAACAGAAUGAGAUGAUUACGGAACUCGCAAGAAAGCUUGAAAUGCUUCAGGGGGAAAUAAAUUGUACUCGAGAUUCGGCUCACCUGGCCAUCACUGUUAAUGCUCCCGCUCCAGGAGGACAUGGGACUCCACUCCAAAUCCCUUCCCUUAGUACGCCUAUUCUCGGGGAUCAGCCAAAUAACAUAUCAUCCGUCUCUGCCCCUUCACUUGUCCAAAAUACCAAUCGCGAAAAUAACCCAGAUGCCUACCAUCCACAAAAUCCAUCUCUAACCCCACAAAACCCAUCUACGAAUCUAUUCCCAAAUCCCCAAAACACAUUUUCAAAUCAAGAAAAUUCAUUCCCAAAUCCACAGGAUUCACUUCCAAACCCGUAAAAUCCAUCAAAUCUAUUCCUGAAUCCACCAAAUUCGUUUCCAAAUCCACAGAAUUCUCCUCCAAUUCCACCAAACCACUCGUAAAUUCCAUAAAACCUUCCUAAAUUUCAAAACGUCCUCCCCACCUACCAACAAACUUUCUUUCAUUUGCAAAAUCAAGCCUCCUUUCCAAAGCCCCCUCAUGCCAUCAUAUCCCCUGACAUCUAUAAUCCCCUACCUAAUUUUGAUAUGGACCAUUACUAAGAGAAGGAGAAAGAGUGGAUGAUCGAGCAUGAAAUUAGGUUGCUAGCUAUGAAUGAAGAGAUCAUGAGGAUCAAAGAAUCUCAUGAAGCGAGGGACCACGACGGUUUAGGGUACGAUGACUUAUGUGUUCACUCUAGAGUAGAUCUACCAGAAGGGUACAAGGUCCCCAAGUUUGAAGUGUUUGAUGGUGCUGGGAAUGGCCCAUCUGAGGAGGUACUGUGAGCAACUGGUAGGGAUCGAGAAAAAUGAGGCGUUAUUGAUGCACCUAUUCAGCCGAAGUUUAAGCGGUGAGCCUUAGAGUGGUUCAUGUAUCAGCAGCCAAAAAAAAUGGACUGGUUGGAAAGCAUUGGCUAAGGGUUUCUUCGACAGGUUCUCAUUCAACAUUAAAAUUAUCUCGGACCGGUAUUCACUAGAUCGAAUCAAACAAAAGAGUGAUGAGAGUUUUCGAGACUAUGUUUUUCGUUGGAGGAAGGAAGCUGCCAAAGUGCAACCCUCCAUGUCUGUGGAAGAAAUGGUAUCCGUGUUCUCUCACGCUCAAGAAGGAGAAUAUUAUACCAGGAUGGUGUCCGUUUCAGGGCAACUUUUGCAGAUUUGGUAAAAAUCGGGUAAUCACUGGAAGAAGGUAUUCGUAUAGGAAAAAAUUGCCAAGACCCCAACAUCGUUCGAAACUGUUAUGUUCUCGAAGAAGAAAAAAGAGGAUGUAGGCACGGUUUCUGCUGAUUCUAUUGCAAAAACGAAAAAAAGGUUCAACUCUAGGAAUAUUUUCUCUUUUCCACCAUCACCAAACUUUCAGCAUGUAUUCUACACCCAACCCCAAUACCAAGCUUCACUUCCAAAUGUCCAACCUCAGUACCAAACUCCACUCCCAAAUAGUCAACCCCAGUACCAAGCUCCACUCCUAAAUGUCCAAUCCCAAUUCCAAGCUUCGCAGCCAAAUAUUUUUCCCCAAUGUCAAGUUCCACCGCCGAAUUAUCAUCCUAAUAUCCAAUCCACUCUUCCAAACAUCCGAACAAACAUCCAAGGACCUCCAAAUUAUCAUUAAGUGCUUCCUCCUGCAAAUCAAAAUCAUUAUAACACUCCGCAUCCAAACAUAAAAAAUAAACCUCCCCAAAACUUGACGCUGCUUGCUGAAAGUCGCACCCAACUAUUUGAAAGAUUGAAAAAUGUCGGUCACUUGUAAUCGAUCCAGCCAAAUCUUGUCAAUCCCAACUCUCGAUUUUAUCAUCCUGAUCAAAAUUGUUCUUAUCAUUCAGGAGCAGCAGGGCACAGUACCGAGGACUGUUUUAUCUUAAAACAGAGGAUCCAAGAUCUGAUUGAUCAAAAGGUCAUCACACUUCAGUCAUCGACACUAAAUGUCAAUAGUAACCCAUUGCCUAAUCAUGGGGGAUCUACUAUUAACAUGAUUGAAAUAAAAUGAGAAUGGGUGUCUGGCAAGACUAUUACUAAGAUGAAUUCAGAAGACUGCAAAAGGGCAGAAGAGGUAGAAAAGAUAGAGAGAGUUGUGGCUACCUUAAGUGUCAACGAAAAAUCCCCAUUUAUAGUGAUAACGGCCCCUAUCCAAGUGUACAGUCCCCCGCCAAGAAAGGAAUAUAUUGUAAAAACCGUUGUUGCCUAAGGGAUGAUGCAAUCGGGAUGAUGCUACAUCCCUAAAGAAUUGACCAACAAAAAAGAUUCACAGAAAAGGCCAACCACUAAAGGGGAGGCUGAGGAAUUUUGGAGGCGUAUGCAACCCAAAGAUUAUUCAAUUGUCAAACAUUUAGAGAAGACGCCAGCCCAAAUCUCCAUUUUGGCACUAUCAAUGAGUUCGCAAUACCACCGAUAAGCUUUAUCAAAGGUCUUGGAUGAAGCGUAUGUUCCCGUAGGAAUGAGUGUUGAGAACAUGACUGCGAUGAUAGGAAACAUUGUGGGGAAUCAUCGUAUAUCAUUCAGUGAUGAAGAGUUGCCUUUUGAAGGAGUGAUGCACAAUAAAGCCUUGCAUGUCACUGUCAUUUGCCAAGAUUAUGCGAUUAAUCAGGUAUUAAUAGAUGAUAGAUCUGGUGUGAAUAUUUGUACCCUCUCUACGUUGGUUCAAAUGGGCUAUAAUUUGGGAAAAAUUCAUCAAAGCCACGUAAAUAUGAGAGCAUUCGAUGGAGGGCAGAGAGAUACCAUAGGAGAAAUUGAUUUGUACAUCCAAAUAGGACCUGCUGAGUUCAAAACUAAGUUUCAUGUUAUGGAUAUUCAUCCUAGCUACAACCUGAUCUUGGGAAGACCAUGGAUACAUGGUACAAAGGCCAUUUCAUCACCCCAUCAUCAACUAUUGAAGUUCAUUUGGGAUCAUGAAGUAGUCAUCCAAGGGGAAGGAAGCCGAGCGGAUCGUCCCAAUGGUUAUGUGCUGGUGAUUGAAGAUGUUCCAAAGGGUAGUAGUUUCUAUACGGUUGAAAUUAUAAAUGCUGUGGAGAAGGAUCUGACGCUCAAAGGGACAAUGCCUUCUGUCUACAAAAUAAUUGCGACGGUGAUAUUAAGAAAUAGAUUCGAGCCUGGUCGGGGUUUGGGUACGAAUCUACAAGGAAUUAUUGAGCCUAUUAUGAUCCCAGAGAAAGCCUCUAAAUAUGGGUUAGGAUAUCAGCCUACCGAGAAGGAUAUGGUUGAGGAUAAGUCAGAGCAGAGUCUGUGUAGGCCCUUUUCGCUUCUGUACCAACAUUUCCUAUACGGGACGUGUCGAAUGAUGAUGUUCUUGAGUAUGGGAUAGGAGAUUUUUUUGAGGGAUGCAAUGCUAUACCAGAAGAUUUCACAAAGUCCGGUGGGGUGAAGAAGAUUACUCCAGGGGAGGCCUUGAAAAACUAGACCUCCACUCCAACUCGUCGCCCAUCGUGGUAGAUGAAAGGGCAAUUAAUAAUAGUUUUAAAAUCAGUGAUGAUCUGGAAGAGGCCCCACGAUCCACACUUUAUAUCUUAAAACUUUAUUUUUAUAUUUUACUGCUUUCAAAAAGGCAUGGACUAGUAUUUGCGCGAGUCAUGAGCCAUGGUUUUGUAAUUAUCUCGCAAAUUUCAUUGAAAAGGCCUUCAUUCAUUUAAAAAAAAAUUAUUAUUCUUGAAACAUUCCUAUUCGUAUAUUUUAUUAUUAUCUUAUUAUCAUCUAACUUGGU